rnacentral:rRNA from 1 species
UGGGGAAUUUUGGACAAUGGGCGAAAGCCUGAUCCAGCAAUGCCGCGUGUGUGAAGAAGGCCUUCGGGUUGUAAAGCACUUUUGUCCGGAAAGAAAUCCUUGGCUCUAAUACAGUCGGGGGAUGACGGUACCGGAAGAAUAAGCACCGGCUAACUACGUGCCAGCAGCCGCGGUAAUACGUAGGGUGCAAGCGUUAAUCGGAAUUACUGGGCGUAAAGCGUGCGCAGGCGGUUUGCUAAGACCGAUGUGAAAUCCCCGGGCUCAACCUGGGAACUGCAUUGGUGACUGGCAGGCUAGAGUAUGGCAGAGGGGGGUAGAAUUCCACGUGUAGCAGUGAAAAUGCGUAGAGAUGUGGAGGAAUACCGAUGGCGAAGGCAGCCCCCUGGGCCAAAUACUGACGCUCAUGCACGAAAGCGUGGGGGAGCAAAACAGGAUUAGAUACCCUGGUAGUCCACGCCCUAAAACGAUGUCAACUAGUUGUUGGGGAUUCAUUUCCUUAGUAACGUAGCUAACGCGUGAAGUUGACCGCCUGGGGAGUACGGUCGCAAAGAUUAAAAAGCUUAAAUGGAAUUGACGGGGUCAUAGCUGUUUCCU